CGCCGUUGAACCCCUCCGUGCAUCGCACCGAGAACGAGUUGGUCGACGUGUUCAAGGUGGUGCAAUUGUGAACCAUAUCGGGCCGACCUGAUGCAGACACACCGGACAUCCCAGCGUGCAAAUUGGUUCUCUUCUUACCUGUAGACCGACGUACCGAGGUCCUCGCGGUACCAGAGCACAAGGUGCACCGAAUCCCCUUCCUGUGUGGUUGAUAUGUCGCAUGGAAGGUACGUGGGAUCACCGACCAGUGCCACGAUGUGCGAUAUCGGGACUGAAACGAAGAAUUAUAAAUGCGAUCCGUGAUACGACAUGCAUCCUGAGGAUUAGAAUUAUACAUCCCAAGGAAUGUAGACGUCUAUAACGAUAAAAACAGGACAUCCCAGCGUACAAAUUGGUUCUCUUCUCACCUGCAGACCGACGUAUCUGUAGAUCCUCACGGUACCAGAGCACAAGGUGAGAAAGAUACAUAGUAGUGACCAAUUACCUCAAUUCUCGGUUUAUAAUUAAGAAAAUUUGCACGGAUACGAGUCACUUGGAAAAA